UAGGGAAUCUUCCACAAUGGACGCAAGUCUGAUGGAGCAACGCCGCGUGAGUGAAGAAGGCUUUCGGGUCGUAAAACUCUGUUAUUGAAGAAGAACGUGUGUGACAGUAACUGGUCAUGCAGUGACGGUAUUCAAUCAGAAAGUCACGGCUAACUACGUGCCAGCAGCCGCGGUAAUACGUAGGUGGCAAGCGUUGUCCGGAUUUAUUGGGCGUAAAGCGAGUGCAGGCGGUCUUUUAAGUCUGAUGUGAAAGCCUUCGGCUUAACCGAAGAAGGGGCAUGAGCAUGGA
rnacentral:rRNA from 1 species